AAGGAAUUGACGGGGCCCGCACAAGCGGAGAACAUGUGUUAAUUCGAUGAUACGCGAGGAACCUUACCCGGGCUUGAACUGCAGGAGAACGAUACAGAGAUGUUGAGGUCCUUCGGGACUCCUGUGGAGGUGCUGCAUGGUUGUCGUCAGCUCGUGCCGUGAGGUGUCGGCUUAAGUGCCAUAACGAGCGCAACCCUUUUCGUCAGUUGCCAUCAGGUGAAGCUGGGCACUCUGGCGAUACUGCCACCGUAAGGUGUGAGGAAGGUGGGGAUGACGUCAAAUCAGCACGGCCCUUACGUCCGGGGCUACACACGUGUUACAAUGGGGAGUACAGAGAGUCAACCGCCGGCAACGUCGGUUUAAUCAAGAAAGCUCUCCUCAGUUCGGAUUGGGGUCUGCAACCCGACCCCAUGAAGCUGGAUUCGCUAGUAAUCGCGCAUCAGCCAUGGCGCGGUGAAUACGUUCCCGGGCCUUGUACACACCGCCCGUCAAGCCAUGAAAGCCGGGGGCGCUUGAAGUCCGUGACCGCAAGGAUCGGCCUAGAGCGAAACUGGUAAUUGGGGCU
rnacentral:rRNA from 1 species